AUUGAACGCUGGCGGCAGGCCUAACACAUGCAAGUCGAGCGGAUGAAGGGAGCUUGCUCCUGGAUUCAGAGGCGGACGGGUGAGUAAUGCCUAGGAAUCUGCCUGGUAGUGGGGGAUAACGUCCGGAAACGGGCGCUAAUACCGCAUACGUCCUGAGGGAGAAAGUGGGGGAUCUUCGGACCUCACGCUAUCAGAUGAGCCUAGGUCGGAUUAGCUAGUUGGUGGGGUAAAGGCCUACCAAGGCGACGAUCCGUAACUGGUCUGAGAGGAUGAUCAGUUACACUGGAACUGAGACACGGUCCAGACUCCUACGGGAGGCAGCAGUGGGGAAUAUUGGACAAUGGGCGAAAGCCUGAUCCAGCCAUGCCGCGUGUGUGAAGAAGGUCUUCGGAUUGUAAAGCACUUUAAGUUGGGAGGAAGGGCAGUAAGUUAAUACCUUGCUGUUUUGACGUUACCAACAGAAUAAGCACCGGCUAACUUCGUG
rnacentral:rRNA from 1 species